GAUGAACGCUAGCUGGAGGCUUAAUACAUGCAAGUCGAGCGGGAUUGGGUAGCAAUACCCAUGAGAGCGGCGCACGGGUGAGUAACGCGUACACGACCUACCUCUAACAGGGGGAUAGCCCUGGGAAACUGGGAUUAAUACCGCAUAUAAUUCUGAAUAAUAAAGGUUUGGAAUGAAAGCUGAGGCGGUUAGAGGUGGGUGUGCGUCUGGUUAGCUAGUUGGUAGGGUAACGGCCUACCAAGGCGAUGAUCAGUAGGGGGCGUGAGAGCGUGGUCCCCCACACGGGUACUGAGACACGGACCCGACUCCUACGGGAGGCAGCAGUAAGGAAUAUUGGUCAAUGGGCGAAAGCCUGAACCAGCCAUCCAGCGUGCAGGAAGAAGGCCCUAUGGGUUGUAAACUGCUUUUAUCAGGGAAGAAACCUCUGGAUUUACUCCGGAGCUGACGGUACCUGAAGAAUAAGCACCGGCUAACUCCGUGCCAGCAGCCGCAGUAA
rnacentral:rRNA from 1 species